rnacentral:rRNA from 1 species
AUUGAACGCUGGCGGCAGGCCUAACACAUGCAAGUCGAGCGGAGCGGCGGACGGGUGAGUACUGCCUAGGAAUCUGCCUGGUAGGGGGGGAUAACGUCCGGAGACGGGCGCUAAUACCGCAUACUAUCAGAUGAGCCUCGGUCGGAUUAGCUAGUUGGGGGGGGAAAGGCCUAUCAAGGCGACGAUCCGUAACUGGUGUGAGAGGGUGAUCAGUCACACGGGAACUGAGACACGGUCCAGACUCCUACGGGAGGCAGCAGUGGGGAAUAUUGGACAAUGGGCGAAAGCCUGAUCCAGCCAUGCCGCGUGUGUGAAGAAGGUCUUCGGAUUGUAAAGCACUUUAAGUUGGGAGGCGUUACCAACAGAAUAAGCACCGGCUAACUUCGUGCCAGCCGCCGCGGUAAUAC